rnacentral:rRNA from 1 species
UACGAAGGGGGCUAGCGUUGCUCGGAAUCACUGGGCGUAAAGCGCACGUAGGCGGACUCUUAAGUCGGUGGUGAAAUCCUGGAGCUCAACUCCAGAACUGCCUUCGAUACUGAGAGUCUCGAGUCCGGGAGAGGUGAGUGGAACUGCGAGUGUAGAGGUGAAAUUCGUAGAUAUUCGCAAGAACACCAGUGGCGAAGGCGGCUCACUGGCCCGGUACUGACGCUGAGGAGCGGAAGCGUGGGGAGCGAACAGG